rnacentral:rRNA from 1 species
UACGUAGGGGCCGAGCGUUGUCCGGAGUUACUGGGCGUAAAGCGUGCGCAGGCGGUUCGUUGUGUCGGCGGUGAAAGCCCCGGGCUUAACCUGGGAAUGGCCGUUGAAACUGGCGAACUGGAGUGUGGCAGAGGGGGGUGGAAUUCCGCGUGUAGCAGUGAAAUGCGUAGAGAUGCGGAGGAACACCGAUGGCGAAGGCAGCCCCCUGGGCUAACACUGACGCUCAGGCACGAAAGCGUGGGGAGCAAACAGG